AGAGUUUGAUCCUGGCUCAGAACGUACGCUGGCGGCACGCUUAACACAUGCAAGUCGAACGAAGUAGCAAUACUUAGUGGCAGACGGGUGAGUAUAAUGUGGGAAUCUGCCUUUUGGUUUAGAAUAACUCGGGGAAACUUGAGCUAAUACUGGAUAAGCCCUUACGGGGAAAGCUUUAUGCGCCAAGAGAUGAGCCCGCACUUGAUUAGCUUGUUGGUGAGGUAAAAGCUCACCAAGGCAACGAUCAAUAGCUGUUCUUAGAGGAAGACCAGCCACAUUGGGACUGAGACACGGCCCAGACUCCUACGGGAGGCAGCAGUGGGGAAUCUUGCACAAUGGGGGAAACCCUGAUGCAGCGAUGCCGCGUGAGUGAAGAAGGCCUUUGGGUUGUAAAGCUCUUUCGUCGGGGAAGAAAAUGACUGUACCCGAAUAAGAAGGUCCGGCUAACUUCGUGCCAGCAGCCGCGGUAAUACGAAGGGACCUAGUGUUGUUGGGUAUUUGUUGGUUUACUUGGUUCGUUGUUGGUUCAGGAAGUGGUGGUGAAAUCCAAGGCUUUAGCUUGACUGGCACAAACUUUUGACUAGAGUAUGAUAGAGUUAGUGACUUUCUAGGUAGAGGUGAAAUCGUAGAUAUUAGAAAGAACACCAUGCGAGCACUUCUGGAUCAUUACUGACACUGAGAGCGAAGCAUGGGUAGCGAAGAGAUAGAUACCCUCGUAGUCCAUGCCGUAAACGAUGUGUGCUAGACGUUGGAAAUUUAUUUUCAGUGUCGCAGCAAAAGCAUUAAGCACACCGCCUGGGGAGUACGACCGCAAGGUUUAAAACUCAAUGAAUUGACGGGGACCCGCACAGCAGUGGAGCAUGUGGUUUUAUUCGAGAUACGCGCAGAUCCUUACCACACUGACAUGUCGUCGCGACUUUAAGAGAUAAGUCUUCGGUUCGGCGGACGAAACACAGUGCUGCAUGGCUGUCGUCAGCUCGUGUCGUGAGAUGUUGGGUUAAGUCCCGCAACGAGCGCAACCCUUACUUUUAGUUGCCAUCAUUUAGUUGGGCACUCUAAAAGAACUGCCAGUGAUAAGCUGGAGGAAGGUGGGGAUGACGUCAAGUCCUCAUGGCCCUUACGUGUUGGGCUACACACGUGCUACAAUGGUAUUUACAAUAGGAAGCAAGAUGGCGACAUCAAGCAAAUCCUAAAAAAAUACCUCAGUUCGGAUUGUACUCUGCAACUCGAGUACAUGAAGCUGGAAUUGCUAGUAAUCGCGGAUCAGCGCGCCGCGGUGAAUACGUUCCCGGGUCUUGUACACACCGCCCGUCACACCAUGGAAGCUGGUUCUACCUUAAGGCAAAGCAUAAAACCUUUGACCACGGUAUAGUCAGCGACUGGGGUGAAGUCGUAACAAGGUAACC
rnacentral:rRNA from 1 species